rnacentral:tmRNA from 2 species
GGGGAUGUUUUUGGGAUUCGACAGGCGUAGAUUCGCAUUGACUGCGAUUCGUAGGUUACGUCUACGUAAAAACGUUACAGUUAAAUAUAACUGCAAAUAACAAAAAUUCUUACGCAUUAGCUGCUUAAUUUAGCGCAUGCGUUGCUCUUUGUCUGUUUACUCGUGGCUGACACUGAGUAUCAACUUUAGCGAGUUACGUUUAACUAUCUCACCUGAAUAGUUAAAAAAAGUCUUAACAGGUUAGCUAGCUCAUCCUAGCCCUGUUAUAUGGCGUUUUGAGCUAGUGAAGUUCAAGUAAUAUAACUAUGAUCGUAGAGGUCAGUGACGGAAUGCGUUUGGACAGGGGUUCAACUCCCCUCAUCUCCAUCG